UACGAUCACCGAAGUUAAGCAACGUCGAUCCUGGUCAGUAGCGAGAUGGGUGACCGUUUGGGAAUACCAAGUGCUGCAAUC